GUGGUUAUACAAAGGCUGCACACUUUGUAACAAAGAGCUAGGUUUACAGUGUAUUAUGUUGACCUCUAACGAUCAUCCGAAUGCCAAUCAACCAGCAUGAUGUUUACUUUAAAUGGAAGAUGGAAUAUUAAGCAUAGCAUGUUUGCCUAACAGUAAGAAAGGGGCUUGAGGAGUUGGACGUGUAAAACGACAAUGGCCAAAAAAUGAACUAUAUAAGAUGUUUUCCCAUGUAAAUAUGUAUGUACAUGUGUGUGUGCACGUGAGUGCGGACUGU
rnacentral:lncRNA from 1 species